UACGUAGGGGCCUAGCGUUGUCCGGAAUUAUUGGGCGUAAAGAGCUCGUAGGUGGUUCGGCACGUCGGAUGUGAAAUCUCCACGCUUAACGUGGAGGGGCCAUUCGAAACUGCUGUGACUUGAGUCCGGUAGGGGAGUGUGGAAUUCCCGGUGUAGCGGUGAAAUGCGCAGAUAUCGGGAGGAACACCAGUAGCGAAGGCGGCACUCUGGGCCGGUACUGACGCUGAGGAGCGAAAGCGUGGGGAGCGAACAGG
rnacentral:rRNA from 1 species